rnacentral:sRNA from 1 species
GCAAACCCGCCCCGGCGGCUCGCGCGAUCGGGGCGGGCAGGUCAGUGCGCUACAGCGCCGCGCGUCUGACAAGACGCGCAAAGGCCGUAGCACUUCGAACCGCUGCAUGUUCCGUCCUUGGAUCGGGGACGAUCCAA